GCUGACACAUCCCUGCCAAUCUCCAGCAGACCCUCCCUCCCAGACCCUCCCACCUCCUGGACAGCAUCCAUGUUGAAGCUGUCUUCAACAUGGAUGCUGUCCAGGAAGUAGGAGGGUCUGGGAGGGAGGGUCUGCUGGAGAUUGGCCAGGAUGUGUCAG
rnacentral:miRNA from 1 species